rnacentral:rRNA from 1 species
GGGGAAUAUUGCACAAUGGGCGCAAGCCUGAUGCAGCCAUGCCGCGUGUAUGAAGAAGGCCUUCGGGUUGUAAAGUACUUUCAGCGGGGAGGAAGGCGAUGCGGUUAAUAACCGCGUCGAUUGACGUUACCCGCAGAAGAAGCACCGGCUAACUCCGUGCCAGCAGCCGCGGUAAUACGUAGGGGGCAAGCGUUGUCCGGAUUUAUUGGGCGUAAAGCGCUCGCAGGUGGUUCAUUGCGUCGUGCGUGAAAGACCCCGGCUCAACUGGGGAGGGUCGUGCGAAACGGGUGAACUAGAGGCCAGUAGGGGGAUGCGGAAUUCCGGGUGUAGUGGUGGAAUGCGUAGAGAUCCGGAGGAACACCAGCGGCGAAGGCGGCAUCCUGGACUGGUCCUGACACUCAGGAGCGAAAGCGUGGGGAGCGAU